rnacentral:rRNA from 1 species
GAGACUCUGUGCGCGUGCAUAUCAAUAAGCGGAGGAAAAGAAACUAACAAGGAUUCCCUUAGUAACGGCGAGUGAAGCGGGAAGAGCUCAAAUUUGAAAUCUUCAAGGUUCUACCUUGACGAAUUGUAGUUUAUAGAAGUGUUUUCUGUUAGUAGAGUGGCAAAAGUUCUUUGGAAUAGGACAUCAUAGAGGGUGAGAAUCCCGUAUUUGGUCAUUCUUUCUAGCUUUGUGAUACACUUUCAACGAGUCGGAUUGUUUGGGAAUGCAGUCCAAAAUGGGUGGUAAAUUUCAUCUAAAGCUAAAUAUUGGCGAGAGACCGAUAGCGAACAAGUACCGUGAGGGAAAGAUGAAAAGAACUUUGAAAAGAGAGUUAAGCAGUACGUGAAAUUGUCAAAAGGGAAGCGUUUGACACCAGUGUUGUUUUUCCGAAAAUCAAUUACGAAUGUUUUGUUUUUGAGAAGUUAUGACUUCAUCGGCUUGCUUCUUUCUUUACGAAACUUUCUUAAUGCACUUUUCGGUUAACAAGUCAACAUCAAUUUCUUUUGUUGUAAAAGGGUAUGAGGAAGGUGGCUUUCUUUUCGGAGAAAGUGUUUAUAGCCUUGUACCUCUGCAAUCGGAGAGAUUGAGGUCUGCAGCGUAGAUCCUUCGGGGUUAGAUACAUUUGUGCUAAGUUAUAGCUUUUCAUAGACAACUUGUUGACUAUGUUUAGUCUUGUAGCUUACUCGCAUGACGCUAUUUUACCUACGCUUAGGAUGUUGAACUCUAUCACACACAG